GCACGUUAUGGUGGGGACUCAGUGGAGACCGCCGGGGUCAACUCGGAGGAAGGUGGGGAUGACGUCAGGUCAUCAUGGCCCUUAUGGGUAGGGCUACACACGUCAUACAAUGGCCGGGACAGAGGGCUGCCAACCCGCGAGGGGGAGCUAAUCCCAGAAACCCGGUCGUAGUCCGGAUCGUAGUCUGCAACUCGACUGCGUGAAG
rnacentral:rRNA from 1 species